rnacentral:lncRNA from 10 species
AAACACGCCUCUUUGCAGCCUGCCUUGUUCUCCCCUCUGUCUUUUUUCACCUGCAAGCUCUAAGGGGCAGAAUCAGCCUGGAGGCUAUGGAAUAGGAGAGGCCAGGAACACGGGGCUGAGCCUCCAGGGUCAGGUAGGAAGGUAGCCAUAGAAGGCUGUCACUGCCAUCAAGGAACUUGGGACCCAAGGUCUGAGAGAGACAAUGACUCCUGCUUAGGGCAUUUGGCCCCGGUCUUGCAGACAGCCUCGCCAUGUGGCUGGCAAAGCUGGGCCCUCUGCAGAGCCAGCGCAGGGAGCCCCGCAGGCACCGACGGGGCCUCUUUUCCAAAUGGCCCUUGCAGGCUCAGCUCCCACACAUGACACAACCAGGAGUAACAAGCAUAGGCCUGGCUCCACAAUGCCAGCCUUUCCCCUAUUCUAACAAGUCCCACCCACCACCUGCACCCAGGCUACGUCUUGACCUACUCCAAAGCCAAGCUAGGGGUGUGGGCUGUCCCACAGUGCGGGUCCUGAGAGUCCUACUACUUGAAUUCCAGCCCUAGCCUUGUGCUUGCUAGCUAGAAAGUCCUGGCAAGGUUCACAGCCCAGGGCUACCCCCUGCUCCCGACCUCCCCCAGUGCUGAAUGCCUCUCAACCUCUUGCUCAUGCUCAGAUGGAGGUCAGGUCAGGAGGGGCUAGCAAAGGCCGAAGCUCUUUGGAAAUUACAGAUAGCAGUCAUGCUUUGUUGAUUCUUCCCUUUCUGACUAGCUGCUGUCCAUACUCUGCUGGCUAGU